rnacentral:tRNA from 1 species
GCGGUGGUUCAGAGGUAGAAUUCUUGCCUUCCAUGCAGGAAAUCCGGGUUCAACUCCUGGCCAGUGCA